AUUCCCCUAGUAACGGCGAGUGAAGCGGGAAGAGCUCAAAUUUGUAAUCUGGCACUUUCAGUGUCCGAGUUGUAAUCUCGAGAAGUGUUUUCCGCGCUGGACCGCAUACAAGUCUGUUGGAAUACAGCGUCAUAGUGGUGAGAACCCCGUAACUGAUGCGGAUGCCCAGUGCUUUGUGAUACACUUUCGAAGAGUCGAGUUGUUUGGGAAUGCAGCUCAAAUUGGGUGGUAAAUUCCAUCUAAAGCUAAAUAUUGGCGAGAGACCGAUAGCGAACAAGUACCGUGAGGGAAAGAUGAAAAGCACCUUGGAAAGGGAGUUAACAGUACGUGAAAUUGUUGGAAGGGAAACGCUUGAAGUCAGACUUGCUAUUCGGAUUUAUUCGAUUCGCAGGCCAGCAUCAGUUUUCGGGGGUGGAAAAGGGUUUGGAGAAGGUAGCAACUCCGGUUGUGUUAUAGCUCCUUGCUGGAUUCAUCCUUGGGGACUGAGGAACGCAGCGCGCUUUUUGCAAGGCUCUCGAGCUUUUCGCGCUUAGGAUGCUGGUGGAAUGGCUUUAAACGACCCGUCUUGAAACACGGACCA
rnacentral:rRNA from 1 species